GCAAAGCAAGGGAGGUGAUUAUUCCUCUCUAUUCUGCCCUGCUCACAAUGGAAAGAGUCAUCUGAAUGGGGAGCACCAGCCCCGGCGGAGAGCGGAUCAUGAGAACCACAGCUUCCAUGAGUCACUGCGGUAGAUGCAUGGGACACAGAAGAUCAGGCCAGCGACUUUCAACAUCUUCUAUUUAAAAAUUGCUUUUUGCCUUUGAAUAGGAAGACAACACUGGAAGGGUU